rnacentral:snRNA from 1 species
GUGCUUGCUUCGGCAGCACAUGCAGAACAUAAACUAAAAUUGGAAUGAUACAGAGAAGAUUAGCAUGGCCCCUGCCCAAGNAUGACAUGCAAAUUCAUGAAGCAUUCCAUGUUUAA